rnacentral:lncRNA from 1 species
GGGCGCGAGCGGCAGCUGUCAGGCCACCGAGGUCCAAGCCGCACUUGCUGCCCCAUUGAGGACGAGGAGGCAGCAGGAGCAGUGACGGUGACUCUAAGGAGCCGGAUUCCCGGCACGCAGAGCUGACCUGCCUGGCACCCGCGGCCCUCUCCUGUUUCCUUCCCAUUGUGUUGGAUAAGCCAGCUGCAGAAUAUAUCCUGAGGUACCUGCUUUAUGGAAUUAUUCACACUAUUCACCAACAGGAAGAAUAAAGUCAAUCAAUUCAAGGAGUCUCAGAACAGGAGCACAUAGACACCAAACUUUGUGGGACAACAAAUAUAAUGAAGAGUAUGUUUGCGUCUUUCAAACAAAGAAAUGUUAUGAGAAUGACUUGGAUGAGCUGAAAAAUGAAUGAUCUCCUUGAACAAGGCUUGCCUGGAAUUUCGCUUUGCUGCAGAGACAUCUGGAAAUGUGGAUUGAGGGUGGAAAUAAAAUGAAGAUGUCCUGGAAACUUCCAACUGAUCCUUGGGUCUAAUUGGUGUGGGAUAUGCAGCACAAGCGUGAGAAGCCAUGAAGUGAGAGCCCCAACAGGGGCUCAGAGUCAAAAACCUAGAUAUUAGCUCCCAAAGUCCUUCCGAAUCUGCUCCAGCUCCCCACAUCACUCCUAGCUGCCCUUGGCCCUCUCCACCUUUCCCCUCCCGAUUCCUUGGAAAAUAAGCGUUCCUCCCCCACCCCCACCCCCAGCUCUACGAACACAAUAGAGAAGAAAAAAUUGUCUUUUAAGAUAAUUUCCUCCAAAUCCUUCUCAGUUUCAACUGCAUGAAGACAAAAUGCAGGCUGUCAAUUCGAUGAACAGAUUGUGAUUAGGCUGGGGGAGGCUAGAAUUGUAAUAAUUUUAUAGCUACAAUAAUAAAGACCCAGAAGUGGGCAAGACCUAUGCAAGUUCACAGACUAGGUUAAAGAAAAGGCCAGCGUUGAAGAUGUGGGUGAUUUCCAAGAAGGAUAAUCGACUUCGAGACAAGUCAAGAACACGAUCUGGGAAUCAGCUCCCUUGACCUAGAGGCCGGUGUCCUCCCAUGGAUGGCCUUUAAAACAACUGGCUGGCAUAUAAUAAGAGGGGCACCUGUUGGAAGACUCCGGAGAAGGAAGACGCAUCUGAAAUUUGGUGCCAUGACUCGAAUCGGGGGACCUCCCUUGGAAGAUCAAUCCCCUGUCCUCCUGCUCUUUACUCCAUGAGAAAGAUCCACCUACAACCUCUGGUCCUCAGGCCAACCAGCCCAAGGAACAUCUCACCAAUUUUAUAUCCGGUACCCACUGGAAAUUGGACUCUCCAACUCACCCGGCAGCCACUCCCAGAGCCACUGGAACUCUGGCCCAACGCUCUCUGACUGACUCCUUCCCAGAUCAUCUCAGCUUAGCGGCUGAAGAUUGAUGCUGCCCAAUCACCUCAGAAGCUUCCUGGACCAUCACAUACGCUUUGGGUAACUCUUACAGUGGAGGGGUGGCCUUGGCAAAAGAGGAAGUCAAAUCUGGAACCAAGGGGUCCCAGCCCAUGUCCCCCUCUGAUUUCCUAGACAAACUUAUGGGGCGAACAUCUGGAUAUGAUGCCAGGAUUCGGCCCAAUUUUAAAGGCCCACCCGUGAACGUGACCUGCAACAUCUUCAUCAACAGUUUCAGCUCCAUCACCAAGACCACAAUGGACUACCGGGUGAAUGUCUUCUUGCGGCAACAGUGGAAUGACCCACGCCUGUCCUACCGAGAAUAUCCUGAUGACUCUCUGGACCUCGAUCCCUCCAUGCUGGACUCUAUCUGGAAGCCAGACCUCUUCUUUGCUAAUGAGAAAGGGGCCAACUUCCAUGAGGUGACCACGGACAACAAGUUACUGCGCAUCUUCAAGAAUGGGAAUGUGCUGUACAGCAUCAGGCUGACCCUCAUUUUGUCCUGCCUGAUGGACCUCAAGAACUUCCCCAUGGACAUCCAGACCUGCACGAUGCAGCUUGAGAGCUUUGGCUACACCAUGAAAGACCUCGUGUUUGAGUGGCUGGAAGAUGCUCCUGCUGUCCAAGUGGCUGAGGGGCUGACUCUGCCCCAGUUUAUCUUGCGGGAUGAGAAGGAUCUAGGCUGUUGUACCAAGCACUACAACACAGGGAAAUUCACCUGCAUCGAGGUAAAGUUUCACCUGGAACGGCAGAUGGGCUACUAUCUGAUUCAGAUGUACAUCCCCAGCCUACUCAUCGUCAUCCUGUCCUGGGUCUCCUUCUGGAUCAACAUGGAUGCUGCCCCUGCCCGUGUGGGCCUGGGCAUCACCACCGUGCUCACCAUGACCACCCAGAGCUCUGGCUCCCGGGCCUCUUUGCCUAAGGUGUCCUACGUGAAGGCAAUCGACAUCUGGAUGGCUGUGUGUCUGCUCUUUGUGUUCGCUGCCUUGCUGGAGUAUGCUGCCAUAAAUUUUGUUUCUCGUCAGCAUAAAGAAUUCAUACGACUUCGAAGAAGGCAGAGGCGCCAACGCUUGGAGGAAGAUAUCAUCCAAGAAAGUCGUUUCUAUUUCCGUGGCUAUGGCUUGGGCCACUGCCUGCAGGCAAGAGAUGGAGGUCCAAUGGAAGGUUCUGGCAUUUAUAGUCCCCAACCUCCAGCCCCUCUUCUAAGGGAAGGAGAAACCACGCGGAAACUCUACGUGGACUGAGCCAAGAGAAUUGACACCAUCUCCCGGGCUGUCUUCCCUUUCACUUUCCUCAUCUUCAAUAUCUUCUACUGGGUUGUCUAUAA